UACAGAGGGGGCAAGCGUUAUUCGGAAUUAUUGGGCGUAAAGGGCGCGUAGGCGGCUUGGCAAGUGACGGGUGAAACCCCUCGGCUUAACCGAGGAACUGCCCGUUAGACUGCUUCGCUUGAGACCGGGAGAGGUGAGUGGAAUUCCCAGUGUAGCGGUGAAAUGCGUAGAUAUUGGGAGGAACACCAGUGGCGAAGGCGGCUCACUGGACCGGUACUGACGCUGAGGCGCGAAAGCGUGGGGAGCAAACAGG
rnacentral:rRNA from 1 species